AGCAGUGAGGAAUAUUGGACAAUGGAUGGAAAUCUGAUCCAGCCAUGCCGCGUGCAGGAAGAAGGUCCUAUGGAUUGUAAACUGCUUUAGUGCGGGAGCAAUAAGGUCCACGAGUGGACCGAUGAGAGUACCGCAAGAAUAAGCAUCGGCUAACUCCGUGCCAGCAGCCGCGGUAAUACGGGGGAUGCAAGCGUUAUCCGGAUUUAUUGGGUUUAAAGGGUGCGUAGGCGGUCUGUCAAGUCGGCGGUGAAAACAGCAUGCUAAACAUGGUGCUUGCCGUCGAGACUGGUGGGCUUGAAUGUGGAUGAUGCCGGCGGAAUGUGUAAAGUAGCGGUGAAAUGCAUAGAUAUUACACAGAAGGUCGAUUGCGAAAGCAGCUGGCAAAGGCACUAUUGACGCUGAGGCACGAAAGUGCGGGGAUCGAACAGGAUUAGAUACCCUGGUAGUCCGCACAGUAAACGAUGAUAACUAACUGUCGGCGAUACACAGUCGGUGGCAAAGCGAAAGCGAUAAGUAUCCGC
rnacentral:rRNA from 1 species